rnacentral:tRNA from 1 species
UGCCCCAUAGCCAAGCGGUAAGGCGGCAGGCUCUGACCCUGUUAUUCCGUAGGUUCGAAUCCUACUGGGGCAACCA